CCCUGUGAUGCUUCUAAAUCUCACUCACCAGGAUGCUCCUGCAGCAAGGAGGUCAGGCCUUCCAGAGGGCUGCCUGGGGCUUAAGUCGACGGUGGACUUCAUCACCACUACUUUACGGUACAUGCAGGUGCAGUCACAUGAUAUGUUUAACUUGUGUACUUGUCCAUGUGUACAUGCAUGUGUUGUUUCAACUUUAUGUGUAUGUAGUGUGUGUUUACACAUGUAUUUCAGUCUCAAAUGUCAUUUCACAGGUGCUGAACACCUUGACUUUUGGACACCGGUUUACUCAAGGCCGUCGAGGUUGAAAUGCACCUGUCUUAGCUGGAUGGUGGUGGCACAUGCUUUAGUCAGGAGGAAGAAGACAGGGAUCUCAGUUCUGGGAUAUCCUGGUCUACAGAGCUGUAGAUGUCCCGCUCUUGUCUUGCACCCCAGCCAAAUCCCAUUACCGACCUGAGGGCCAGGAACAGCAGUGUGUCUAUGCAACUUCCUCCAGGGACAUUUCCGGGCAGCCCAGGCCAUCUUCAGUGUUCCAUGAAUCCCAGUUUAAGAAAGAGCACGUGCGACCUGCCUGACUGGAAUUUGUGUGCAAGAAGAGACGGGGACAGAGACACAGACAGAACCUCACAGUGCAUGGACGUCAAGGAGUCAUCAGGAUGCGAGGCCAGAUCUCCAACCCAGGCUGGCCAGAGUCUCCGGGAAGUCCUCGUUGGUUUUGUCUGAUUAGCUAGCCUGUUCCAGAGGCUGAAG
ensembl:lncRNA